UGUGUGUGUGUGUGUGUGUGUGUGUGUGUGUGUGUGUGUGUUGGGGGGGUUGUAACACAACCACUUUGCUCCUGCAUGUUUCAACCUGCUGAUAAGACAGUCCUGAAAUCCCAGUCACACACUUCCUUAUGAGACGUGUGGUCGUUGCUCCUGUUGCCAGACUCGAUUUAAGGAGGAACUAAGCGCGUUUAAAGCAGAAAAGCGGCCGACUCGAAGGGGAAUGACGUCGUCGUUCACCUACGGGCGAAGGGACGCGUCGCUUGGGGGCUGAACGGGACCUCGGGUCUCCAGGACGGCACCGGGCGUGAGCGCUGAAGGCCCGGAGGCGGCAGCGGAGCGACCUUCUGAGGAGCAUAAAGCACACACUGUGGCUGUGGGUGAAGCGCGGGGAGGUUCCUCUGAUAACAUUACCCGGCGGUGGAGCCGAUCUACACGACGCGCGUUGAGAAAAACAACAAAAAAAAAAAACGAUAAGAGUCAGGGUUUGAUUCCCUGCAGAACGUUCCUCCUGGACACCGUCACUUGUUGUGCGACAUGCGGUCGGGGAACAUUCACGAGCACAACCAGGUGUGCGCAAACGCCCCAAGGCUUUAGAAACAGUGAGCGAGAGGCGGUGGGUGGGGCACGCUCAUUCCUGGAGGCCUCUGCAGCUACUGAAGUGACUUCACAUCUGCAGAGGAAGUCAGGUGGACUCGAACGGACCCACGGCGCAAAGGAGGAACACUCGCGUGAAGCCGCGUUUCCCAGAAUGCUUUGUGCACCUUUAUGACAGAUUAUUAUAGUUUCCUCCUUCUUGCUUCUGCAUUACUGGACUCCAACUGGUUUCCAGUCCCCUGCUGUGGUUCACACUUAUUUAAAAGCUCAUUAGGGGGACGUGGAAACCUGCGCGGACACUUAAACUGUAGGUGUGUGACACAAACAGGCAACAGGCGCGUCCAUCGGCUCUGACGAAACCCCUACUUGCAGGAAGCCGAGGUUUGAGUUUGAACUACAGGGCAGAGGAGCGUCUGCACACGAGGAAGCUGAGCGGCUUCUUCCUCCUGUACCGAAUGAAAUGAAUGGAAGCUACGUGACAUUUAAUGAACACGCACACACACACGCGCACAUUUGCAUUCUGGCCAUGCAGCGGCCGUGUCCCCGCUCCGGGAGCUUCUACCUGGGCCGCUCGUCGCUUUGCAUUCCUGUUACAUUUGCGUAAACGUGAGUUUCCUGCAGGGCCGUGUGCGCGACCCGGUGCCGCGGCCUCGGCCGCCGAGAACCGAGUCCGCACGCGCGCUCCGGAUUUCAGCACGCGGCAGAGGAAGAAGUUGACAGAGGGGCGACACCACGUCAGUUAGAGCCGCGGAGAGAGUGCGAGGAUCGACCCAUAUGGGACUCAGUAAAAAGUGAGAAGUAGCGUGUGGCACGUACCCCAAAGUGCUGAUGAAGCCAUUGACCGAGCCUUCCGCGUACAGAGACACGAUGUCUCCGAUGUGGAGGAAACUGGACCUGUGCUCUGACAUUUUCACCGCGCACCCGGUUCCAUUUAGACGCGAACGACGCCGCCGCUCUUCGCUGGAGUGGAUCCCACGUUACAGCGCCUCCACUUCGGCCGCAGCCGUCCUCGAACUGGUCACCUUCAUUCCUCCAGGUCUACGUGGGCUGAGGGGGGUGGAAAGGAAGGCAAAGUGCAAAACACACAGCGUGCGGGCGGAUUCCCCGAAAACGCAGCUUUUUUUUUCUGACACUUGUUCAACUUCUUCCUGUAUUUCUGUGAGAGCAGAGAGAGAGAGGGCUCUUCUUCACAUCCACUUCAGGGGGAGGAGACUGCUCCUGUCAGGGCUGUGAGCAAAUUCCGCUCAGUGACAUGUUUGUGUUGUUCAAUAAAAGGAAGCGCCGCGAUCAAUAACGCAUUGCUGAUCCGUGAUAAACACGAACGCGAAGAUCAAAAAGGGGAAGCGUCACGUUGAACGGGCCACAGCGGACGCAGCCGGCGCUGCCUGAGAACACGCCAGAUGUUUGUAAUUAUACACAUUGUAGCAGUUCGGCAUUAAACAAACAGACGAG